GCAUGCAUACAUGCGUAGACAUAGAGGUAGAUAAAGAAAACGAGAAGUAAUAUAGAUUCGCACGCACCUGCGUGUAUAUAUAUGUAGAUAGACAAAUACUCAUAUAUUUUGCUUUAUCUAUCUAUCUAUAUAUAUUUAUAUAUACACGCUACAAACAUUUAUACGUACAGGUGAACAUAUGUAAAGUCACAAACUUUCCUGCAUGUAUGUAUAUAUCUAAUUAAAGUAUAAAUAAAUAAAUAAAUAUAUAUAUUAUAUAUCUACACACACAAAUAUAGACAUACGUGCAUACUGUCAAACAUACAUUCAUAUAAACACAUGCCUAUAUAACUAUAUACGUAUAUAUACAUACUCAUACGUUAAUACAGAUACACAUUGAUAUAUACACGCAUUUACUGACAAGCAAUCUUGCAUAUAUAUACAGGCUACUGAAUUCUACGGACAAGGAAAUAUCGGAACGAUUUUGUCAUUGUUUAGCAUAGAAAUUCUCUAAGAAAUUGAAACGCCAGGAAGUGUAAUAUGAUACACCAAAAACAACUAAUGUGUGUAGAUUAACACUAAACUGUGACAGCAACUACACCACCUCUAUGUCCAAUACAACUGUAUACUAAACGACAGAGUAGAUCAACGCACGUA